GAGGCGCCUCCGAUCGAUGCUAAAAUUUGCGAUCUCUUAUAUUGUAAAUGAUGAAAUUGUUUUAGAUUGAUCAAUUACAGACGUAAAGAUCUGCCAAAGUGUCAAAACAAUGCUGCCCAAGAACAGUCCAGCUAAACACAUUGUUUCCAGGCUUUCCCCACACCUACCAGCCUUCACCGAUAUCUUUGAUGAGGAAAGCUUCUAUAUCACUUUCUUUGUGUUGACUGUCUUAAGCUUUCUGGCAGUGUACUAUACAUCAAAAAGAGUUACUCUGAAAGACGCUGGACAUGUUGACUAAAACUUGUCACUUACAGUCUGUAUUUGUACUCGGACUUAAACCGUAAUAACAACUUACUUUUUUAAUAAUGUACAGAAACAUUGAUUUGUUGUAAAAAAAAAAAAAAGCAGAACUUUCAAAAUGUGUGCAAUAUUUAUGAGAUUCCCAAUAUUUUCUGCAUGUUUUUCAGUUUUUGGUGAUCAAAUAUGACUUGAUUGUUUUUUUUAUCCCUGUUUAUGUGUCUUUAUAUCCGAAGCUUUUCUUAGUAUACUACUCAUUUUUACCAAAGUUUAUUUCCAUUUAUUUUAUUUUUUUGCAAACUUAAGUAUAUGUGUGUGUUCUUGAUAAAAGAAAAAAUUAACUUAAUAAAUAUAUUGUUUUCCUAAA